rnacentral:rRNA from 1 species
AGAGCUAUAAUCAAAUAAAUUAUAUCUAUUAUUUUACUUUUAAAUCCACCUUAAAAUCAUUAUUUCAAACAAUUUAACGUAUAAAUAAACUUAUUGUAACCCAUCUCUACUAAAAUAUAAACUGCACCUUGACCUGACAUCAAUUAUAAUUAUAAAUUAAGAAAAUUAUUACUCUUUUAAAAUAUUCUGAUAACGGCGAUAUACAAAUUGUAAACAAAUUUUAGUAAGGUCCAACGUGGAUUAUCGAUUACAGGACAGGUUCCUCUAAAUAGACUAAAACACCGCCAAAUUCUUUAAGUUUGAAGAUCAUAUCUAUUACUACUCAAGUAUAUAAAUUUACAUUUUAAAUAAUAGGGUAUCUAAUCCUAGUUUAUUAUUAAAAUUUUCUAGCUUCAUUUAAUAAAAAUAAUUAGGAUUAAUUAAAUUUAAAAUUUCACUUAAAAAAUUUAAAUUAAUAUCAUAAUAAAUAAUAACAAACUAACUAUUACUAAUAAAUUUUAUUUGUAUUAUUUG